GCACUGCUCCCCCGCGUCCCCGCGGCCCGAAGAGCCGGAGCCCGGCCAAGCCCAACGACGCCACCCCCCCUGCCCCCGCCUCACAAAGGCCCCGUGAGGUGGGAACGACAUCGCCAGCCCCGCCUCCCUCGGUGAAAGUGACUUGAAGAGAAAGUGUCAAAAUGCCAGCUGCGUCACUGUUUCCUCCCUUUUCCGCGGGCCUCAGUUUCCCCAUCAGCGAAUUUGGGCCCGUAACACUGCGCGGCCUGCUUGAUUACAAUGUGGGAAAUAAAUAGUGUGGUUCACCGCAA